UACGUAGGUGGCAAGCGUUAUCCGGAUUUAUUGGGCGUAAAGGGAACGCAGGCGGUCUUUUAAGUCUGAUGUGAAAGCCUUCGGCUUAACCGGAGUAGUGCAUUGGAAACUGGGAGACUUGAGUGCAGAAGAGGAGAGUGGAACUCCAUGUGUAGCGGUGAAAUGCGUAGAUAUAUGGAAGAACACCAGUGGCGAAGGCGGAUUGCUGGACAGUAACUGACGCUGAGGCGCGAAAGCGUGGGGAGCAAACAGG
rnacentral:rRNA from 1 species